AUAGGGAGCGGGAAGAGUUUUGUGGAGAGAGACUUCGUCUUCUUCCUAUGCAGUGUUUUUCGAAUUCACUCAUCUUAAUCUUCUCCUCCACUUCACUCUGUAAUUUAGGGUUAGGGUUUUGUAAUAGCUCAAAUUACUAAGAGUUAGCGAAGCUGGAGAGGCAAAGAGGAUUCGGCGACCACCAGGUCCAGGAGUCCCACCGCAAUUCGCACCCUGGGACUUCCUCUUCCUCUUCGUCUUGGUCUUCUGGUGACUUCCACCAUAAUCAUCAAUCCCACCAUCAAGACCAUAGUUUCAAUGAUCCCAAUCAUAAUAACCCUCACCAGUCCCACUACUACCACCAUUCUAUUCGCCCUGACCACCACUCUGGCCACUUCAAUGGCGCCAUUGGCUAUGGUCCGGGUCAUCAUGUGCCGAUGGCUGGACGGAAAAGGAAUUGGUCUCAUUCGAACCGAGGAAAUUCUCCAGAUCGAUUAGAUGGUUAUGGUCUUGCAAAACUUUAUGUUUCUCAUGUUCCAAGAACAGCAGUUGAGCAAGAUAUCCGCCCCCUGUUUGAACAACAUGGAAAUGUAGUUGAGGUCGUUUUAUUGAAGGAUAGGAAUACAGGCGUACAACAAGGAAGCUGUUUUGUGAAAUUUGCAACAACUAUUGAAGCCGACAAGGCCAUUGCAGCUCUAAACAAUCAACAUUUUUUUCCUGGGGAACAAAUGCCUAUUACGGUUAAGUAUGCUGGCAAGCCAGACAGAGAAAGAGAACGUCAUGGGGCACUUGAUAAAGUGUUUGUUGCGAUGUUUAACAAAGAAGCUUCAAAGGAGGAAAUUAUGGAGAUAUUUUCUCCAUAUGGUUUUGUUGAAGAAGUCUACAUUAUUCUUGAUGAAAUGAAACAAAGUCGUGGAUGCGGGUUUGUUAGAUUUUCUCAUCCAGACAUGGCUGUUGCAGCAAUCAGAGCAUUAAACGGAACUUACACAAUGAGGGGUUGUGAUAAGCCAAUAGCUGUACGUUUUGCAGAACCUAAGAAAGUUAGGAAUGGAGAAGCAAGGAACAAUAAGAUGUUUAGUGGCAUGUCCUUUGGCCCCCAUUCUCAAGAACCAGUUGUUAGGACAACAACCAACCUGGGUGAUUCCAUGGUGGGGCAUAACCGGCCUAAUGCACCUCAUCUGGCACAACAUUUCUCGUUAACUAAACAACCACAAGCAGUUUCUUCGGUGGCAAACCAUGAACCUCCGCAGUUGUCUCAGAUGCAGAAUAGAAAAGCAAGUUCUCAACAAUUUCAAGGUGAAGUUCAUGAUUUUCCAAGACAGUUGCAUGUGAUGCAACCAUUGAAACAAACGCUAGAGCAGCACAAGUGGUCUCAGACUAGUGGACAACCGCCUCUACCAACUGGAAGCAGUUCUCGGGAAGGUGCUUACAAUAUUCCCAGAGCUGCAGUGCCUGCAAAUCCUCAGAUGCCUGAACUUCCAGAAUGUGAUUGGAGUGAGCAUACCUGCCCUGAUGGGCAUAAGUAUUAUUAUAAUUGUGUCACUCAUGAAAGCUUGUGGGACAAGCCCAAGGAAUAUGGUUUGUUUGAGGAACAGUUAAAGAAUGAGAGACAGCAGCAAACUCCUGCCCACAAGCUUCAGUCUUCUUCCUUGGUUCUCUCUAAGCAGCAACCUGCUCAAACACAAGAAAUUCAUUGCCAAACUCAUGUUGACCAUCAAAAUCUCCAACUAGAAAAACUUGCUCUAUCUGCGCCGGAACUGGAUCACGUGGAAGUGCAGUGAGGGAAAGUUCAUGUCAUUUUGCAACCAUUGUUUCGAAGAGAAGGCAUUUGAGCAGCAAUCUGAGCUGAGAACUACGGAGAAAGCUUUAAAAGGCAUGCAUAUUAGGUCCAGAUUUGGAUUCGAUGGUGCAACACACAACAAGAGAGAUGUCUUAUAAGCCAAAAUGUACGAAGUUCCCCACAAAUACUAAGCGAAUGAUGCUGUCUUUCUUGUCUCUCUAAUUAUUAUUGAUUAUUAUGUGUUUAACUUUCAUUCAAAUGAGUGCUUCUCAAUUUGUAAUAUAUUCUGCUAGGUGACGUUAUACCUGUUACUAUGAUUGUUUUACUAACUAAACCUUUUGGAGGUUGCACUUAUUUGGCUUUAAAUUAUAGUCAUCAUUGUCCCAAA